UUAAAUUGAAGAGUUUGAUCAUGGCUCAGAUUGAACGCUGGCGGCAGGCCUAACACAUGCAAGUCGAACGGUAACAGGAAGAAGCUUGCUUCUUUGCUGACGAGUGGCGGACGGGUGAGUAAUGUCUGGGAAACUGCCUGAUGGAGGGGGAUAACUACUGGAAACGGUAGCUAAUACCGCAUAACGUCGAAAGACCAAAGAGGGGGACCUUCGGGCCUCUUGCCAUCGGAUGUGCCCAGAUGGGAUUAGCUAGUAGGUGGGGUAACGGCUCACCUAGGCGACGAUCCCUAGCUGGUCUGAGAGGAUGACCAGCCACACUGGAACU
rnacentral:rRNA from 1 species